rnacentral:rRNA from 1 species
AACGAACGCUGGCGGCGUGGAUAAGACAUGCAAGUCGAACGGGACUUGAUUUGUAGUAAUACAGAUCAAGUCUAGUGGCGAACGGGUGCGUAACACGUGAGUAAUCUGCCGGGAAGUGGGGGAUAGCUCGCCGAAAGGCGAAUUAAUACCGCAUAUGGCCAUUCUUCGAUUGGAGAAAAAGCCAAAGCCGCAAGGCGCUUCCUGAUGAACUCGCGGCCUAUCAGCUAGAUGGCGGGGUAACGGCCCACCAUGGCUAUGACGGGUAGCUGGUCUGAGAGGACGACCAGCCACACUGGAACUGAGACACGGUCCAGACACCUACGGGUGGCAGCAGUCGAGAAUUUUUCACAAUGGGGGCAACCCUGAUGGAGCGACGCCGCGUGGAGGACGAAGGCCUUCGGUUGGUAAACUCCUGUCAUGCGGGAACAAGAAAGUGAUAGUACCGCAAGAGGAGGGGACGGCUAACUCUGUGCCAGCAGCCGCGGUAAUACAGAGGUCUCAAGCGUUGUUCGGAUUCAUUGGGCGUAAAGGGUGCGUAGGUGGCGAUGCAAGUCUGGUGUGAAAUCUCGGGGCUUAACCCCGAAAUUGCACCGGAUACUGCGUUGCUCGAGGAUUGUAGAGGAGAGUGGAAUUCACGGUGUAGCAGUGAAAUGCGUAGAUAUCGUGAGGAAGACCAGUUGCGAAGGCGACUCUCUGGGCAAUUCCUGACACUGAGGCACGAAGGCCAGGGGAGCAAACGGGAUUAGAUACCCCGGUAGUCCUGGCAGUAAACGAUGCACGUUUGGUGUGGGCAGGUUCAGACCCUGUCCGUGCCGGAGCUAACGCGUUAAACGUGCCGCCUGGGAAGUACGGUCGCAAGAUUAAAACUCAAAGAAAUUGACGGGGGCCCGCACAAGCGGUGGAGUAUGUGGCUUAAUUCGAUGCAACGCGAAGAACCUUACCUGGCCUUGACAUGCAUCUCUAAGUUGGUGAAAGCCAGCGAGUUGGUAGCAAUAUCAUCAAUUUGCACAGGUGCUGCAUGGCUGUCGUCAGCUCGUGUCGUGAGAUGUUGGGUUAAGU